AACGCACCUUGCGCUCCUUGGUAUUCCGAGGAGCAUGCCUGUUUGAGUGUCAUUAAAUUCUCAAUCUCUACAUCUUUGUGUUGUUUAGAUUGGAAGUGGGGGCUCUUUGUGUGGAAUCUAAUUCCUCACUCCCCUUAAAUGUAUUAGCUGGAAUGCCUCUGCAUAUCUGACUAUCAGUGUGAUAAUUAUCUAUACUGUAGUUGUUGCAUGAGGGUAUCUGCUUCAUCAAUCGUCGAAAGACAAUUCUAUAUGACCAUCUUGACCUCAAAUCAGGUAGGACUACCCGCUGAACUUAA
rnacentral:misc_RNA from 1 species